rnacentral:lncRNA from 1 species
CUGGAGUGCAGUGGUAACAGCUCACUGCAGCUUUGACCUCCUGAAUAGUUGGGACUACAGGUGCAAGCCACCACGCCCAGAUAAUUUCUGAAGAGACCCGGUUUUGCCAUGUUGCUCUGGCUGAACUCCUGGAGUGAAGUGAACCACCCAUCUUGGCCUCCCAAAGUGCUGGGAUUACAGGUGUGUGCCACUGUGCUGGCCCCGAUAUUUUUUUUUUCUGAGAUGGAGUCUCUCGCUCUGUCGCCCAGGCUGGAGUGCAGUGGCGCAAUCUCGGUUCACUGCAAGCUCUGCCUUCCGGGUUCACUCCAUUCUCCUGCCUCAGCCUCCAGAGUAGCUGGGACUACAGGGGCCCGCCACCACGCCUGGCUAAUUUUUUUGUAUUUUUAGUAGAGACGGGGUUUCACCGUGUUAGCGAGGAUGGUCUCAAUCUCCUGACCUCGUAAUCCACCUGCCUUGGCCUCCCAAAGUGCUGGGAUUACAGGGUUGAGCCACCGCACCCGGCCCCUGGCCCCGAUAUUACACCAUUUUAUAGUAAGGGUGAGCAUCUGUGGACUUGGGUAUUGGGGUUCAUCCUGGAACCAAUCCUCAGCUGAUACUAUACAACCAUGCUCUGCUGGGGGCCAAGAGCACAGCCCUGCUGUUGGCUCACUACCUCUGGCAUCUGCUCACUUUAAAAUCCCCACCUCACUCCAGGCCCUACCCCCUACGCCACUGCCUGGUAAUAAGUGCCCAUAACCAGGACCAAUAGACAGACUCACCUGGCGUAAGCCACCCCCCACAAUCCUGCCAGAGAGUGACAUCACUGGAAACCUCCACCCUUUCAGACCAGCUCAAAUACCCAGCAGCUGCUGCCAUCCCUCUGGGCCCUGUAGCUGGUUGUGCCCUGGGGCUCUGGGUGGAGACCUGCUCUCCCAUUUGAACUACAGUACCCAGGACUGGGGAACGCAGAAUAGCUUUUCCUGUUAUCCUGCUUUAUUUUUUUUUUGAGACGGAGUCUUUCUCUGUUGCCUAGGUUGGAGUGCAGUGGUGCCAUCUGGGCUCACUGCUAGCUCCGCCUCCCAGGUUCAAGCAAUUCUCCUGUCUCAGCCUCCCGAGUAGCUGGGACUACAGGCACACGCCACCACACCUGGCUAAUGUUUUGUAUUUUUAGUAGAGAUGGGGUUUCACCAUGCUGGCCAGGCUGGUCUCAAACUCCUGACCUCCUGAUCCGCC